rnacentral:rRNA from 1 species
GACGAACGCUGGCGGCGUGCUUAACACAUGCCAGUCGAACGGAAAGGCCCUGCUUGCGGGGUGCUCGAGUGGCGAACGGGUGAGUAACACGUGUGUGUUCUGCCCUGCACUUCGGGGUAUGCCUGGGGAACUGGGGGGAAUACAGGAUAGAGGCGAUUCUGAGGGUGGUGGUUGGAAGGUUUUUUCGGUGUGGGGUGAGCGGACGGCCUGUCAGCCUGUUGGUGGGGUAAUGGCCUACCAAGGGGGCGACGGGUGGGCGGCCCGGGAGGGUGGACGGCCACAAUGGGACUGGGGAUCGGCCCAGGCUCCCACGGGAGGCAGCAGUGGGGAAUAUUUCCCAAUGGGCGCAAGGCCGAUGCAGCGACGGCGCGGGGGGGAAGACGGCCUUCGGGUUGGAAACUCGCUUCGCUAGGGACGAAGCUGUUUGUGACGGUACCUAGAAAAGAAGCACCGGCUAACUACGUG